rnacentral:tRNA from 1 species
AACUUUUAAAGGAUAACAGUCAAUCCACUGGUCUUAGG